rnacentral:rRNA from 1 species
GACGAGGGGUCCUAGCGUUGUUCGGAAUUACUGGGCGUAAAGGGCGCGUAGGCGGUUCUUUAAGUCAGGCGUGAAAGCCCUGGGCUCAACCUGGGAGUGGCGCUUGAUACUGGAGGACUAGAGAGUGGGAGAGGUUGGUGGAAUUCCCAGUGUAGAGGUGAAAUUCGUAGAUAUUGGGAAGAACACCGGUGGCGAAGGCGGCCAACUGGACCAUUUCUGACGCUGAGGCGCGAAAGCGUGGGGAGCAAACAGG